GACGAGAAGAGGCGGGAAGGUCAGAGGUACAGUGCAGUCACUCAUAAAGUAGACAGCACUACUAAACUUCUCUACACAGUGUAGUGUUUCCUACUUUAUGGAUGAGUGUACUGUUGGC
ensembl:lincRNA